rnacentral:rRNA from 1 species
GUGCCAGCAGCCGCGGUAAUACGAAGGGUGCAAGCGUUAAUCGGAAUUACUGGGCGUAAAGCGUGCGUAGGCGGUUCUUUAAGUCUGCUGUGAAAUCCCCGGGCUCAACCUGGGAAUGGCAGUGGAUACUGGAGAGCUAGAGUGUGAUAGAGGAUGGUGGAAUUCCCGGUGUAGCGGUGAAAUGCGUAGAGAUCGGGAGGAACAUCAGUGGCGAAGGCGGCCAUCUGGAUCAACACUGACGCUGAGGCACGAAAGCGUGGGGAGCAAACAGGAUUAGAAACCCGUGUAGUCC